rnacentral:rRNA from 1 species
CCUACGGGGUGCAGCAGUGGGGAAUAUUGGGCAAUGGGCGCAAGCCUGACCCAGCAACGCCGCGUGAAGGAAGAAGGCUUUCGGGUUGUAAACUUCUUUUAAGGGGGAAGAGCAGAAGACGGUACCCCUUGAAUAAGCCACGGCUAACUACGUGCCAGCAGCCGCGGUAAUACGUAGGUGGCAAGCGUUGUCCGGAUUUACUGGGUGUAAAGGGCGUGCAGCCGGAGAGACAAGUCAGAUGUGAAAUCCACGGGCUCAACCCGUGAACUGCAUUUGAAACUGUUUCCCUUGAGUGUCGGAGAGGUAAUCGGAAUUCCUUGUGUAGCGGUGAAAUGCGUAGAUAUAAGGAAGAACACCAGUGGCGAAGGCGGAUUACUGGACGAUAACUGACGGUGAGGCGCGAAACCGUGGGGAGCAAACAGGAUUAGAUACCCGGGUAGUC